CCACUGCGUGCAAAUGUAUUAUUAUUAUUAUUAUUUUUUCUGCCUUAAAGUUCCUCCGUUUUCACCCCACAUGGAAGGUGGCGGCAUGCACUUAUAACGUAUGUUUGCGGACUGCCAUAAUACCAUGAAGAAGAAAAAGAAAAAGAAGAAAAAGAAGAAGAAGAAGAAAAACAGAAAAAAACGCCACCACAGUAGAACAUAUUUGCCACCACCAGUGGCUGCAGAACCUAGCCGGUACCAAAUAAAGAUUUGAAUCCGGAACAUAUUGUUCAGUACUUGUUGUAGUGGGGAUCUAUUUGACGCCCUUAAGUGUUUCCGGAAAUAACACAUGCAAGGGUAAUAUUUACAUAACGUUUGUCAUUAAAAUACUACAGAUCUUGGAGUGACAACAUACCUGCACUCAAGCAUGAAUGUGAGCCAGGGGACAGUGGGAAGCGACCCGUUGAUUCUGGCUACCGCUGGAUAUGACCACACAGUGCGGUUCUGGCAGGCCCACAGCGGCAUCUGCACGAGGACUGUCCAGCACCGACUCUCAAGUGAACUCCCUCGAAGUUACUCCCGACAGAAGUAUGAUUGCAGGUUAUCAACACAUCCGUAUGUGUGAUCUAAACUCCAAUAACCCAACCCCGGUCAUAAACUAUGACGGUGUCAGUGGGCUUCCAUGAGGACGGUUGCUGGAUGUACACAGGAGGAGAGGACUGCAUGGCUCGCAUCUGGGACCUGAGGUCAAGGAACCUGCAAUGCCAGAGGAUCUUUCAGGUCAAUGCUCCCAUCAACUGUGUGUGUCAGACUGCAACCAGUGCUGACUUGAUCGUGGGGGACCAGAGCGGUGUGAUCGACAUCUGGGAUCUGAAGACCGAUCACAAUGAGCAGCUUAUUCCUGAACCAGAAGUGUCCAUCAACUCAGUUCACAUCGACCCUGACGCCACCGACAUGGCAGCAGUCAAUAGCUCGGGAAACUGUUACGUGUGGAACCUGGCAGGAGGGAUAGGUGACACAGCUCAUCCCCAAAAACAAGAUCCCCGCUAAUAAGCGCUACUCCGUCCGCUGCAAAUUCAGCCCUGAUUCUACAACACAGCUGCUGGCGACCUGCUCGGCAGACCAGACGUGUAAGAUCUGGAGGAUGUCUAACUACUCUCUGAUUACAGAGUGGAGCAUGGAGUAACAACCCUGGCUAGACGUCUCGAGGCUGGAUGUGGGACUGUGCCUUCUCUGGAGACUCACAGUACUUUGUGACAGCCUCUUCUGACAACCUGGCACGGCUGUGGUGUGUGGAGACGGGAGAUUUAAGAGGGAGUACAGCGGCCAUCAGAAGGCUGUGGUGUGUCUGGGCUGAUGAGAAGGAGCUACUCUACAGCGACGCUCUGUGGCUGUAGAUAAAUAUCCACACAGCUGUUUGUCUCACAGCGAAGCUCUGUGGCUGUAGAUAAAUAUCCACACAGAUGUUUGUCUCACAGCGACGCUCUGUGACUGUAGAUAAAUAUCCACACAGCUGUUUGUCUCACAGCGAAGCUCUGUGGCUGUAGAUAAAUAUCCACACAGCUGUUUGUCUCACAGCGAAGCUCUGUGACUGUAGAUAAAUAUCCGCCUGUCUGUGUCUGUCUCACAGCUUCAGCUUGUAAAAAAGUUUUAGAUUAUUUAGGAGGGGAGAGGCUGUUUUUAUAUUUCUCAAAGGGAAUACAUUCAAACAGCCUGGGGAUACAGGGAGAGUGUGUCAUGGCCUUGUUUGUCUUAUAGCUUGGGAAAGGAGUUUCGUGGUGGGCCACAGCUAGAUGAAUGCAUUUAAAUUCACUAAGUUAAUCACAGGUGAAAGGUCUCAAAAGUUAAGUCUUUAAAAAAAUCUGAUGGAUAUCUGGAAAGAGGACUGCAUCCCACCAGUGACUGUUCAGGAUAUAAGAGGGCUGCAUCCCACCAGUGACUGUUCAGGAUAUAAGAGGGCUGCAUCCCACCAGUGACUGUUCAGGAUAUAAGAGGGCUGCAUCCCACCAGUGACUGUUCAGAUAUAGAGGGCUGCAUCCCACCAGUGACUGUUCAGGAUAUAAGAGGGCUGCAUCCCACCAGUGACUGUUCAGGAUAUAAGAGGGCUGCAUCCCACCAGUGACUGUUCAGGAUAUAAGAGGGCUGCAUCCCACCAGUGACUGUUCAGGAUAUAAGAGGGCUGCAUCCCACCAGUGACUGUUCAGGAUAUAAGAGGGCUGCAUCCCACCAGUGACUGUUCAGGAUAUAAGAGGGCUGCAUCCCACCAGUGACUGUUCAGGAUAUAAGAGGGCUGCAUCCCAUGUGUAAUUGUACAGGAUAUGAUGAAUUCCAGUAACAAGACUAACUGGUGUGCAACAUUUACUCUGUGGUGCUUUUGUCUUGUUUUUUUAGUGUGAAGUGUUAGUAUCUUUCCAUUUUCUUUCUUUUUAGUACCCUAAAAAAGAGAAUCUAUACACCACUGUGGUUUAUUGAAGGGAUCAAGUCAUUUUAAGACAUUCCAGCAAACAGGAAUGGUUACACACAACUCAUCUGUUGUGGGUUACAGUACAGGAAAUAACAAGCACAAAAAAAGGACAAGUCUGCCACAAGGGAACGUAUUAAGGAAAGGUGAUGAGGGUAGUCUGCAGAUAAACUUCACAGCUUGUUACCAUCGCUUAUCUCUCCGAAGGGAAAGGACUGGAGCGGAGGCAUAGGAGGGACUAAGGUGGCAGGGGCUGCAGUACUGAGAGUGAAAGCCGGCUCCUGUUCCCAGGUUGUAUUCAGUGUUUUUUGGAGCCGGCGACACUCCGGUUUCUUAGCAGGGAUGAGAAGUAGCACUUUGUUUCCCUGAUCAGCGCUGGUAUGGGCUGCCUGAGACUGGAUGAUGGCAGGUCACUCUGGCAGGUAGUAGAAGCAGACAGACACACAGAUGUUACUAGGGAAGCAGAUGUCUAUGCAGAAGUAGACUAGACGCUGUUUACCUGGACCUUCACAGAGCGAGAGAGAAGGUCUGUUACUGAACAAGCAGUUUGGUAGAAAAGACCAACAAAACCCGAAAGUAUGCAAGUCAUAACUACUGCCUGCUAAUGGAACCCUAUCUCCAUUGAGUUUUACUCACUUGGUGAUUCAGAGUAGCAAAUUCAUCCUCUCAAAUAGUUGUCUCAGUGCUCUCUGCUAUAGAGAGUUAAAUACUGUAUUGGUCAUCUACCUGCUGUAGUUAGGUACCAGGGAGUUUAGCCUGAAGGUGGUUGUUCUUAUUUACUGCUAUGACUUUGUAAAGGUCACACAGUACUGUUUUUCAGGAUUAUGUUUCUCACGCUGUUCUGGAAACAUCUGCCAGCACACAGACAGGGAGCAAGGAGCUGCUCUAUUCUGGAAACAUCUGCCAGCACACAGACAGGGAGACAGGAACUUGUUUAACAAAAGGGUCUUUGCUUUGUAUGACUAUUGACUUCUCAGAAUUGAAAAUAAUGUUUGACACGCUUUAAAAUAAACUUUUUCACAGUUUCAUCUUUAA